rnacentral:rRNA from 1 species
CCUACGGGUGGCAGCAGUGAGGAAUAUUGCACAAUGGGCGAAAGCCUGAUGCAGCAACGCCGCGUGAGCGAUGAAGGCCUUCGGGUCGUAAAGCUCUGUCCUCAAGGAAGAUAAUGACGGUACCCAAAGAGGAAGCUCCGGCUAACUACGUGCCAGCAGCCGCGGUAAUACGUAGGGAGCGAGCGUUGUCCGGAAUUACUGGGUGUAAAGGGAGCGUAGGCGGGCGAGAAAGUUGAAUGUUAAAUCUACCGGCUUAACUGGUAGCUGCGUUCAAAACUUCUUGUCUUGAGUGAAGUAGAGGCAGGCGGAAUUCCUAGUGUAGCGGUGAAAUGCGUAGAUAUUAGGAGGAACACCAGUGGCGAAGGCGGCCUGCUGGGCUUUAACUGACGCUGAGGCUCGAAAGCGUGGGGAGCAAACAGGAUUAGAUACCCUUGUAGUC